rnacentral:rRNA from 1 species
AUUGAACGCUGGCGGCAGGCCUAACACAUGCAAGUCGAGCGAGCGGCGGACGGGUGAGUAACGUCUGGGAAACUGCCUGAUGGAGGGGGAUAACUCCUGGAACCGGUAGCUAAUACCGCAUACCAUCAGAUGUGCCCAGAUGGGAUUAGCUAGUAGGUGGGGUAAUGGCUCACCUAGGCGACGAUCCCUAGCUGGUCUGAGAGGAUGCCCAGCCAAACUGGAACUGAGAAACGGUCCAGACUCCUACGGGAGGCAGCAGUGGGGAAUAUUGCACAAUGGGUGCAAGGCUGAUGCAGACAUGCCGCGUGUAUGAAGAAGGCGUUCGGGGUGUAAAGUACUUUCAGCGGCGAGGCGUUACCCGCAGAAGAAGCACCGGCUAACUACGUGACAGCAGCGGCGGGAAUG